rnacentral:ncRNA from 2 species
UUCUCAUCAAGAGCGGCUGAGGGACAGGCCCUAGGAAGCCGCGGCAACGGUCCCGCCGACCUGGUCGGCGGGAAGAAGUGCCAACUCCUACAUCCCGAUCUCGCGCGUCGGGGUGAGAGAUGAGAG